CAGAGAGAGUGCAAGCUCCUCAGAGCAGCAUUUCAACGGCCGCAUUGCUUCGGACAUUGUUUUACAUACUAGUGUGGUACACUUUCAGCACAUGUUUGACACUGUAUAAUAAAACACUCUUAGGCGAUAAAUUGGGGAAGUUCCCAGCUCCCUUCUUGAUGAAUACUAUUCAUUUUGGCAUGCAAACCAUUUUAUCCAAGGCCAUCGUGCGAUUCUGGUCUCAAAAGUUGCAACCUAGUGUAAAAAUGUCAUGGAGGGAUUACUUUCUCAAAGUUGUACCAACGGCUAUUGGAACAGUGCUGGAUAUAAACCUGAGUAAUGUCUCCCUUGUUUUCAUCUCUGUCACAUUUGCCACUAUGGU